ensembl:lncRNA
AGAGAAAUAAGAGUGACGGAGAAAUAUGAAGUGACACGGAGCGUCACUGGCACAUCCUGUGUGAGUGAAACCUCCUGUUUGACCGUUGCAGGUGAGACAUGAGAGGCGUGACGAGUCCAAACAAGAGAGUCCAGCCAGGUGGAUGUGGUGGGUGAGGUGGGUGAGGUGGAUGAGGUAGGUGAGCUGGAUGAGGUGCGUGAGGUGGGUGAGCUGGGUGAGGUGUGAGGUGGGUGAGGUGGGUGAGGUGUGAGGUGGGUGAGGUGGGUGAGGUGUGUGAGG